CCGUACUCCCAUGGAAGUCUUUGCAGAGAGAUUAUGGUAGAUGGGCUAGAAGAGCAUGACAUAUACUGUUGUGUCGAUAUUUUCUCCUCGGACCCUGAAAAUUUAUGGUGGGGACACGCAAACUUCUCAACAGGCCGUACCAUAUCCGCAGCUGGUCUCCAAGGUGAAGAGUCUCUAGUCGAUAGAAUAAUGUAGGUAAGGGAAGUCGGCAAAAUUAGAUCCGUAACUUCGGGAUAAGGAUUGGCUCUGAAGAUUGAGAUAGUCGGGCUUGAUUGGGAAACAAUAACAUGGUUUAUGUGCUCGUUCUGGGUAAAUAGAGUUUCUAGCAUUUAUGUUAGUUACUUGUUCCCCGGAUAGUUUAGUUACGUAGCCAAUUGUGGAACUUUCUUGCUAUAAAUUUUUAAGAAUACUAUUUGGGUUAAACCAAUUAGUUCUUAUCAAUUAUAACGAUUAUCAAUUAACAAUCAAUUCAGAACUGGCACGGACUUGGGGAAUCCGACUGUCUAAUUAAAACAAAGCAUUGUGAUGGCCCUAGCGGGUGUUGACACAAUGUGAUUUCUGCCCAGUGCUCUGAAUGUCAAAGUGAAGAAAUUCAAGUAAGCGCGGGUCAACGGCGGGAGUAACUAUGACUCUCUUAAGGUAGCCAAAUGCCUCGUCAUCUAAUUAGUUUUUUUUUUUUUUUUUUUUUUUUUUCUCUUUAGCGUGCGU
rnacentral:ncRNA from 1 species